GUCUACGACCAUACCACCCUGAACACGCCCGAUCUCAUCUGAUCUCAGAAGCUAAGCAGGGUCGGGCCUGGUUAGUACUUGCAUAGGAGAAAUAGUAGUUUACU
ensembl:rRNA 5S_rRNA 5S ribosomal RNA